rnacentral:hammerhead_ribozyme from 1 species
AUCCAACUGACGAGUCCCAAAUAGGACGGAACGAGCUUUCUGGAU